rnacentral:rRNA from 1 species
CUCCGGUUGAUCCUGCCGGACCCGACUGCUAUCAGAGUGGGACUAGAGCCAUGCGAGUCAACAUAGCAAUAUGUGGCAUACGGCUCAGUAACACGUAGUCAACAUGCCCAGGGGACGUGGAUAACCUCGGGAAACUGAGGAUAAACCGCGAUAGGUCAUCACUUCUGGAAUGGGUAAUGACUUAAAUCUAUAUGGCCCCUGGAUUGGACUGCGGCCGAUCAGGCUGUUGGUGAGGUAAUGGCCCACCAAACCUGUAACCGGUACGGGCUCUGAGAGGAGGAGCCCGGAGAUGGGCACUGAGACAAGGGCCCAGGCCCUAUGGGGCGCAGCAGGCGCGAAACCUCUGCAAUAGGCGAAAGCUUGACAGGGUUACUCUGAGUGAUUUCCGUUAAGGAGAUCUUUUGGCACCUCUAAAAAUGGUGCAGAAUAAGGGGUGGGCAAGUCUGGUGUCAGCCGCCGCGGUAAUACCAGCACCCCGAGUGGUCGGGACGUUUAUUGGGCCUAAAGCAUCCGUAGCCGGUUCUACAAGUCUUCCGUUAAAUCCACCUGCUUAACAGAUGGGCUGCGGAAGAUACUAUAGAGCUAGGAGGCGGGAGAGGCAAGCGGUACUCGAUGGGUAGGGGUAAAAUCCGUUGAUCCAUUGAAGACCACCAGUGGCGAAGGCGGCUUGCCAGAACGCGCUCGACGGUGAGGGAUGAAAGCUGGGGGAGCAAACCGGAUUAGAUACCCGGGUAGUCCCAGCUGUAAACGAUGCAGACUCGGUGAUGAGUUGGCUUAUUGCUAACUCAGUGCCGCAGGGAAGCCGUUAAGUUUGCCGCCUGGGGAGUACGGUCGCAAGACUGAAACUUAAAGGAAUUGGCGGGGGGAGCC